AAUUCUUUGGUUUUUCACAUAGAAUUUCCCAGCUCUCUUCUCCUCUUUUCUCUGUAUAUAAUUACAUGUGGGGUAGUGAGAGAGAGGAGAAAAAAAGAGAGAAGUACGAGUUAGUUUCUUAAAUCAAGAAUUUCACAGUCCUUUCGGUUUAAAAUCUCUGUUACAGUCUUAAAGUGAGACUUACAAGAGUCUUUUGGUUAAAAUCUCUCAAAAGAGAAUAAUGGCUCACCAUUGAAGAACAUGAAAUGGGUAUUGAGGGCUCAGAUUUUCCGUAUUUGAACUAAGCAAAAGAGAAAGCGACGCCGCCAUGGCUGCAGACACCAGUUUGCUAUACAAAGCCAUACUGUAUCGCCUCGCCAAGAUACGGUCAGUAUUUUCUCAAUGCCAUGAUCAAACAUAGCCAAGAACGGAAAGCAAUCAUCACAGCCCCUUUACAACAUCAGUAGCAGCAGCACAAAGAGAAGAGGAAAACAAAGAAGUGUACAGGGGUGUGUUUGGAUGAAAGAUUUUUUUUUCUUUUUUCUUGUUUAUUUGAAAGGGCUGUUGGUUUUUCUGGUUAUCAAUGGAUAAAUCACGGGCAUAGCAGAGAGGGGCAACCACCCUGUACAAAAAAAUCCCAGUCUCUGAUGCCUCAUUCUCUAAGCUAUGCGUAACUCUUUGCUUUACUGGUAAGAACCUCUGGGUAGGCUCAGGUUCUCUGUUUUCCAGAGAACAAAAAAAUUUGAAAACCGCCAUGGCUGCAAGCAUCAGUAUGUCAUGAGACAGAGAACAAACACCACAAAUGGAACUUCUCUCCCCAUAUCUCACAGACCCAUCUGAGCUGCCACGCCAAGUUACAGUUUUCUUCAGCUCAAUAGAAAUAUAUGUUUCAUCUUCCGCAGAAGAUAAAAUCUUCAUAGCCUCAACAACAACAACAACAAACCCAGUUGAAUCUCACAAGUGGUAUGGGGAAGAUUAGUGUGUACGUACACCUUACCCCUACCUUGAGAAGGUAGAGAGGUUGUUUCCAUAAAAUAAACAUAAAGAGUAGGAAAGGGAAAAGAGGGAGGUCAUGUGAAAUUUCACAAAAAGGAUGGUUUUGCAAUCAGAAAAAUUUAUCAACGACAACCCAGAAUGACAGAGACGGGCAAAACCACCAAUUGGAACUCCCCAGUCCCCACAACUCUCUGCUUCACCGCAGACUUUGGAAAGAUACUUACGCGACGAAAUAUAAACAAUGGCCUCAAAGCAUCCUAUUUGUGAAAAUCACCCCUGCUUCGGUCGAGGCUCAGAUCUGUGUUAUAACUCCAGCAAAAUGAGAUCUGACACGCCAUGGCUGCAAAGACCACCAGAAAUCUGGAGGCAUGCGCCGCCAAGAUACAGGCCAGAUAAUAUCAAAUGCCUGAUUAAUAAGCUUAGAAAGAAUGGAAGAUCCACAAUAAUUAUCGCCUCUUUCAAGCCACAGUCACCAUCAUCGGGAAUUUCCUGUAACUCAUAUGACCUCAAAUAUCAGCUUUUGAAUUUUUUUUUCUUCUUCGCGUUCAUUAGCCAAGAUAGGGGCCACUUUCUUAUGGAGUACAUAAUGUUAUAGUGAGACUGUUGUUAGAAGACCGUUUCUUCUUUAUGUCACUAUGCUUAGAUGGAAGCCUUAUUUCUUAUUUUCACAGAUGGUCUUUCUUUGUAGUACUUAAGGAGACCUUCUGGCUCUUGUAAAGUUACGAGCUGGUUAUAUUGUAUACCCAAAGGAAUUCUCGAUGUUCUUACUCACCUACAAAUAUCCUUAGUUAUAUACCUCUGUUCCCUUGUGCUCGUAGGGUUACUUCUGAACUCAAACUUUGAUUGUCUCUUUAGUGGCACUCUUUCUUAUUUUCGUAACACUUAUACGGUACCUUUAAUUACUCCAACUCCUAUCUGAAUAUUUCUCAAGGGUUACGACGUCAUAUCUGCGAGACUGAAUUCACUAUGUUCGGGUUCACUACGUCUAUCUUGCAUGAUCUAUUUAUUUAUCCCUGACCUCUCGUCUAGCCAUAACUAGGCUCUUCCUGAAUAAACUACAGAAUACUCAUUGGUCCAUUCUCAUAUAUAUAUAUAUAUAUGUAUUAUACGUAACCCCUCUUGGGUUAUGUCCUUUGUCUUAACUUACCUAUGGCAUUGGCUCCUUAUGUAUUAAGUGUUUCUCGCACUUAAUUUAUCAAUAACAUAGGGUGCAAAACCCUAACAGGUUCUCCCCAGCAUCAUGCUUGCAUAAUGUUCUGGAGUCAUAUCAUAUCUGUAGGAUCUGAAUAAAUGCAAUCUCAUUCCUUUCACCUCAUCAUCUUUAGCAUCUUUUCACAUUUUCACUGACAUCUUACUCAUCUUGCGGUAACCCUUCUGUACCAAGUAUAACUGAAUUUUACGCAAUAGGGUGACACCUAGUGUAACUGGCACACUUAGUCCCUUAAACUUAACUCUGUUCACAUUGCUUGCUUUAGGAAGCCUCUUCCUGUAUGACCUUUAAAAGUUAUUCUUCUGUUGUCCAUUUUAUUAUCGCCGGAAUACGAUCGAUGAAAUUCUCACGAUGUCGACUAUUAUCAAAUCAUUCGGUCUCUAAUUCAUGUUCAGUUUAUCUUGUUCACCAUCCCAUACUGAUUUCUAUUACUCUGGGGUCUAACGUUUCCUUCUGGUAAUCAGUUGGAGUCACCAACUCAUUUCUAGAAAUGGGGAUAUGAAUUUAUGGAUUAUACUCUUUAAGUCAAGAGGAGAUGGAUAAUUUCUGACUAAAUAAUAAGUCAGUGGAUCUAAUCUUUCUAACUCAAUUAUCAUUUUUAGUUAGAACUAAUCUGUUUAAUGACCAAAUCAAAUAAAAAAACAAGCAUUUUUCUCAUCAAGAUUUAUUUAAUUCAGCUGGCAUAUAUAAACUAAUUGCUCUGGUCUUUCACGUGGUUUAACUUGGAUUGUGUUCAAUUAGACUCGCAAAGAUACAUAUCCGAUUAAUAGCUUGUUUGGCCAAGCUGGAGAAAUCAGCUUAUUUUGAAAAGUGCUUUUGAAAAAAGUACUUUUGCAAAGAAGCAGUUUGUGUUUGAUUAAUCACUCUGAAAAAUACUUUUGAGCAAUAAUUUAUGUUUGGCCAAGCUUUUGAGAAAGUGCUUUUAAGAAUCAAAUUACGAAUAAGGACAUGAAUAGAUUUGCUUAAUAAUUAAUAUUAUAAGUAAAUAAAUAAUCUUAAAAAUUUGUUAUUACAUGCAAUAAUUAAAUCUUUUUAUUUAUUUAAGUAAAAUAUGAAAAUAAAAUUUAAAAGUACUUAAUUCUUUUAAUAUAAGUUAAAUAUAUUAAAAAUCAUUCAACAAAUAUAAAAGCAUUCACCCCUAAAGUCACUAUAUAUAUUAGANNNNNNNNNNNNNNNNNNNNNNNNNCUGCUUCUGCUUAUGCUUUUGGGAAGAAGCGAUUUUUUUAUGCUUCUCAGAAACUGCUUCUGCUUCUUCCCAAAAGCACUUUUUUCCCUCUUGAGAAGCUUGGCCAAACAGGCUAUAACUCGCUCAACUUGACUAAAUUGUAAUAGUAAGUAUCAAAAUCAGAUCAAUUAUACUUGUUUAUUCGAUUUUGUUAAAGAAAUUUAGCUUAAAUAACAAUGUAGGACAAGAAAAUAGCCAAGAGAUGUAAGGAGAACUUUUUUUUUUU
rnacentral:lncRNA from 1 species